CCCCGUCUUCCUCUCCAUCUCUCUCAUUUCCUUCCCCAAACCCCGCAACCUCCCCAACAGCCACCGCAAUCACUCUCAAUCAAAAACCAACAUGCCCCAAACUCCGCCUCUUCCUCUUCCGGCUCAACCCUCCGUUCAGAUCCAAUCCCCAGAAGGCUGCUCUCCCAAAAACAAUGAUUGAAAUUGAUGAAAUCUCUCUCGCAAAGGCAAUGCUUCGAGGCGUGGCUGGAGGAGGUGCGACCAGGCCUGGACGCGUGGGGCGAAGGGAAGGCAAAGUGGUGAGGAGUGUCGACCACUUUGCUGUUAUUCAUUUGGGCCUUGCUGACCGUUAAAACUUGUAACUCUCUCUAUAGUCUGGAAUUGAAACAAAAGAAAAACAGAAAGCCGGAAACGCCGUGCAGAGGCUGUAAGGAGGAUCCUUAGCCUCGCCUUCGCUCUGCCAUGGAUUCUCGGCACGCAUCUCUAGGCCGCCGAACGAAAUUCGUCAAAAGCGAGCUGCAGAAAGAUUGAGCAAAACUUCUUCGGGACCCGAUCUCAGCCAGAUCCCACCUAUCGGUCCGUUAUUUAUAUUUUCUUCAACUUCUCUGUUAACUUUGGAAUUGAAUUUUACCUUCUAUUAUC